GCACUUCUCAGAUAACCUCUCACCUGCAGGAAGUGCAAUUUUCUGAAAUCUGCUGCCAUGGGAUCCUCUCAAUCUCAACAAAGUGCUCACUGAGAGCUGCCCUGACAAAUCUCCCAGGAAAGGCAGUGUGACGUGGAGCAAGGAACACCACGAGAACAGAAGAGCAGUGACUGCCACUGGCUGCAAGGACUCCGGCAUUACUACAGCUCCCAAGUCAGAUACCCUGUGUGCACCAACCUCCAGUUUCCUGCUUUCUCUGGCAGGGGUUUUGAUUCUGAAAUCCUGCCUCCUACAAGUUUCACCAGUGCAUACAGUUAGAUACAGUAAUUCUACUAAAAUUAUGCGGUUGGAAAUGUUUGCAUAGGAACAUUCUUCAUUCAUCAAGCAUGUUUCGAUCUCUUUUGUGCUAGGCACUGAGGACACACUAGUGAGCAAAAUAAACAUUAUCACUUCCUUUG